rnacentral:rRNA from 1 species
UGGGGAAUUUUGCACAAUGGGCGCAAGCCUGAUGCAGCCAUGCCGCGUGUGUGAAGAAGGCCUUCGGGUUGUAAAGCACUUUCAGCGAGGAGGAAGGUGGUGAACUUAAUACGUUCAUCAAUUGACGUUACUCGCAGAAGAAGCACCGGCUAACUCCGUGCCAGCAGCCGCGGUAAUACGGAGGGUGCAAGCGUUAAUCGGAAUUACUGGGCGUAAAGCGCACGCAGGCGGUUUGUUAAGUCAGAUGUGAAAUCCCCGGGCUCAACCUGGGAACUGCAUUUGAAAACUGGCAAGCUAGAGUCUCGUAGAGGGGGGUAGAAUUCCAGGUGUAGCGGUGAAAUGCGUAGAGAUCUGGAGGAAUACCGGUGGCGAAGGCGGCCCCCUGGACGAAGACUGACGCUCAGGUGCGAAAGCGUGGGGAGCAAACAGGAUUAGAUACCCCUGGUAGUCCACGCUGUAAACGAUGUCGAUUUUGGAGGUUGUGCCCUUGAGGCGUGGCUUCCGGAGCUAACGCGUUAAAUCGACCG